CUGGCGGCAUGCCUUACACAUGCAAGUCGAACGGCAGCACGGACUUCGGUCGGGUGGCGAGUGGCGAACGGGUGAGUAAUGUAUCGGAACGUGCCUAUGAACGGGGGAUAACUACCCGAAAGCGUAGCUAAUACCGGAUACGCCCUUCGGGGGAAAGGAGGGGAUCGUAAGACCUUGCUCUAUUUGAGCGGCCGAUAUCGGAUUAGCUAGUUGGUGGGGUAACGGCUCACCAAGGCGACGAUCCGUAGCUGGUUUGAGAGGACGACCAGCCACACUGGGACUGAGACACGGCCCAGACUCCUACGGGAGGCAGCAGUGGGGAAUUUUGGACAAUGGGGGAAACCCUGAUCCAGCCAUCCCGCGUGUGCAAUGAAGGCCUUCGGGUUGUAAAGCACUUUUGGCAGGAAAGAAAAAUCCCGGGAUAAUACCCCGGGAAACUGACGGUACCUGCAGAAUAAGCACCGGCUAACUACGUGCCAGCAGCCGCGGUAAUACGUAGGGUGCUUGCGUUAAUCGGAAUUACUGGGCGUAUGUCGUGCGCGCUGGUUCGGAAAGAAAGAUGUGAAAUCCCCGGGCUUAACUUUGGAACUGCAUUUUUAACUACCGAGCUAGAGUGUGUCAGAGGGAGGUGGAAUUCCGCGUGUAGCAGUGAAAUGCG
rnacentral:rRNA from 1 species